rnacentral:rRNA from 1 species
UACAGAGGUCCCAAGCGUUGUUCGGAUUCACUGGGCGUAAAGGGUGCGUAGGUGGUGAGGUAAGUCGGAUGUGAAAUCUCCGAGCUCAACUCGGAAAUGGCAUUGGAAACUACCUUGCUCGAGGGUUGGAGGGGGGACUGGAAUACUUGGUGUAGCAGUGAAAUGCGUAGAUAUCAAGUGGAACACCAGUGGCGAAGGCGGCUCACUGGCCCGGGUAACUGACGCUGAGGUGCGAAAGCGUGGGGAGCAAACAGG